CCUUCAAUUCCUUUGACUUCUAACUUUAGGUUGGCUUCAGGAACAAGAGAUCCUGACAGCAUAUAGAAGAGAGGUCUGAGGGUUUAUCCUCACAUCUCCUGUCCCCAUCAGGCUGAUGGCUGGAAAGUAAUCUCUACCAACGCACAGCUCCUGCUGGGCAGCCCCUCUCCCAUGGCUCCAGCUGUCUUGGGUUCUGUAACUUUGCUUCCUCCUCUUGUCCUCCCAGGCCUAGAGACCAUAUCUGCUCCCAGCGAGGAUGAAGACUGUGCUCAUACCUUAUUAGUUCUCUGAAUGCUGUUCACACCUCUAUACAUAAGCCUUUCAUUAAACAGCCUUUGCUUACACCUUUGAGCCUGUUUUCUGCAGACACCCUGAUCACUACAACACCUCCAGAUGUUGCAAUACCCAGCUGGAUUGGAUAAGAACAGGAUUCUCAUAAUGGGACUGACUUAAACUGCUUUGGGACCUCAGUAUCCUCAACCACUCUGAGUUUUGGUUUUCUCAUUUGGAAGAUGAAAACAAUGUGUACCCUGAUGAGGAAGUCACCAAUAAUGAAGAACUUUGAGAACAACAGGAUGACAAGUCCCGGAAAGAUGUUAAGAAGACAAAGCUAAUGUCUACAAGGGUGCUGGGGACCUUAUGUAUUUAAUUUUCUCAAUAACCUAGUCACAAUCCUCAUUUGAAGAUAAGGAAAUUGAGGCCCGGAGAGACUGAGUCUCUUGUCUGAGGUCAUGGAGCUAGAAAGCAGCAGAGGAGUAUUUAUAACCUAGAUCUGCCUGGCACAAAGUCCAUUCUUUUUCCAAACUCAGCUGAAAAUGUUCUAGCAGUCCCUAUAGACGUCAUUUCGCUCUUGUAAAUGUGUCCAACUAGUUUUCAUCAGUGAGUGGAAAAUAGCCAAGAUAUGAUAUUCUAUGAAAUCUCCCUUAACACUCAGAAUCCACUGGUAACAGUUGCCAGGCAAAAUGUUUUAUGCUAAAAUUGCCUGUCUUAUAAGACGUUAAAACAGUUUUAAAGAGCCUUCUCCCCUCAACAUGCAUUAUAUUGUUAGCUUUGCUCUUGUUUUCCCCUCUUUCUCUGAAAUACAAUGUGAAAAAAAAAAUCUAUAUCUUAAAUAGAAAACACUGACACUGUAAAUUGCAAUUGGAGACUCCAAACACUUGGAAAAGGAAAGGUACAGUUGAGAUGGUCUGUUAUCCUUGCAGAAUCCAUUUGGAAACAUGCACACACGGAACAUGGGGGAGAAAAAAACAACCUUCUGGUUGUUUUCUAUCAUUUUCCUUGCCUUUCAUUUUUGUCUCGUCACUAUUUUCAAUCAAAGGGAGUAUGUGAGAAGCACACUGGCCUGGGUUCAGGAAAGAAUGGAAGUAUAGUUAAGAAAUAAGAACCUAUCUGUCAUAGAAAAAGCUACUUACAGUUCACUUAAUAUAAUAAACUUACUUAUUAAUCAUUUCAUAAUUUUUGAACACUGCAUAUUUUUAUCUUAGAAGAGUACUGCAUACUAUUUACAUCAAGACUUAAAAAAGGAGGUAAAUAAGGGUAAAAAUUGCUCAGAGUUCAACACUUAGAGCUGAUUA